rnacentral:rRNA from 1 species
UGGGGAAUUUUGGACAAUGGGCGCAAGCCUGAUCCAGCCAUGCCGCGUGCAGGAUGAAGGCCUUCGGGUUGUAAACUGCUUUUGUACGGAACGAAAAGGUGCCUUCUAAUAAAGGGCGCUCAUGACGGUACCGUAAGAAGAAGCACCGGCUAACUACGUGCCAGCAGCCGCGGUAAUACGUAGGGUGCGAGCGUUAAUCGGAAUUACUGGGCGUAAAGCGUGCGCAGGCGGUUUUGUAAGACAGAUGUGAAAUCCCCGGGCUUAACCUGGGAACUGCGUUUGUGACUGCAAGGCUUGAGUACGGCAGAGGGGGGUGGAAUUCCACGUGUAGCAGUGAAAUGCGUAGAGAUGUGGAGGAACACCGAUGGCGAAGGCAGCCCCCUGGGCCUGUACUGACGCUCAUGCACGAAAGCGUGGGGAGCAAACA